rnacentral:rRNA from 1 species
UACGUAGGCGGAAAAUUAAGUCAGUAGUGAAAUCCUGCAGCUUAACUGUAGAACUGUUAUUGAUACUGGUUUUCUUGAAUAUAGUUGAGGUAGGCGGAAUGUGUAAUGUAGCGGUGAAAUGCUUAGAUAUUACACAGAACACCGAUUGCGAAGGCAGCUUACUAAGCUAUGAUUGACGCUGAGGUACGAAGCGUGGGGAGCGAACAGGAUUAGAUACCCUGGUAGUCC